UACGGAGGGUGCAAGCGUUAUCCGGAUUCACUGGGUUUAAAGGGUGUGUAGGUGGGUUGAUAAGUCAGUGGUGAAAUCCCCGAGCUUAACUUGGGAACUGCCAUUGAUACUAUUGAUCUUGAAUACCGUGGAGGUCAGCGGAAUAUGUCAUGUAGCGGUGAAAUGCUUAGAUAUGACAUAGAACACCAAUUGCGAAGGCAGCUGGCUACGCGAAUAUUGACACUGAUGCACGAAAGCGUGGGGAUCAAACAGG
rnacentral:rRNA from 1 species